AGCAGCCGCGGUAAUUCCAGCUCCAAUAGCGUAUAUUAAAGUUGCUGCAGUUAAAAAGCUCGUAGUUGAAUUUCGGGACUGAUAUGUCGGUCGUGCCUCGGUACGUACUGGUAUUUUUGGUUUCUCCCUUCUGACGAACCUUGAUGUCAUUAAUUUGGUGUCUUGGGAAAUCAGGACUGUUACUUUGAAAAAAUUAGAGUGUUUAAAGCAGGCUCACGCUUGAAUACAUUAGCAUGGAAUAAUGAAAUAGGACGUUUGAUUCUAUUUUGUUGGUUUCUAGGAUCGACGUAAUGAUUAAUAGGGAUAGUUGGGGGCAUUAGUAUUCAAUUGUCAGAGGUGAAAUUCUUGGAUUUAUUGAAGACUAACUACUGCGAAAGCAUUUGCCAAGGAUGUUUUCAUUAAUCAAGAACGAAAGUUAGGGAUCGAAGACGAUCAGAUACCGUCGUAGUCUUAACCAUAAACUAUGCCGACUAGGGAUCGGAUGAUGUUAAUUUUUAUGUACUCAUUCGGCGCCUUACGG
rnacentral:rRNA from 1 species